rnacentral:rRNA from 1 species
GACGAACGCUGGCGGCGUGCUUAACACAUGCAAGUCGAGCGGAGCGGCGAACGGGUGAGUAACGCGUGAGUAACUGCCCCCCUCUCUGGGAUAACAGUUGGAAACGGCUGCUAAUCCCGGAUAGUGGGGGAUGACUCGCGUCCUAUCAGCUUGUUGGUGGGGUAGUGGCCGACCAAGGCGACGACGGGUAGCCGGCCUGAGAGGGCGAACGGCCACAUUGGGCUGAGAUACGGACCAAACGCCGACGGGAGGCAGCAGGGGGGAAUAUUGCAGAAGGGGGGAAACCCUGAUGCAGAAACGCCGCGGGAGGGAGGACGGCCGUCGGGUUGUAAACAGAUGUCAGCCAUGACGCGGUAGUGGAAGAAGAAGCACCGGCUAACUACGUGCCAGCAGCCGCGGUAAUUC